UCAGCUAGCAAGGAAGGAAAAAAGAGAGGAAGUUUCUCUGCGUUCCGAUUCCUCUCUGAAUUCCCUUGUAGUGAGCUUGCUUCUCUCCACCCACUUCUUCCCAAGAACUCCUUAAUUUGAAGGUGAACAACUUAAAGCCUGAUCCCAGAGAGUUACCCGAAAGGUGAUUUGAGUAUUUAUUGAACUGAAAGAACAAAUUACCUCCUUGAGGCGGUGGGCAGCGUAUGGAGAUGAUAUUAGGACUUCAGCAAAGUGCACAGCAGCAUAAUAGAGAAGCCGGGACUCACAUUGACAGGCAAAUAAGCCGGCUCGUGGAAGGGGCCUCUGGGUGGCAGCUCUGGGCUGUUGGGUGUUGGACAACUAUAGGCAAAACAGAAAUGGAACAGGGGCAGAAAAUAGCACACUUUUACGCUACGCAACUGUUGCUUUCGCAUGGUUAUCGAUCAUUACAAUGGCACUGAAAAGAGAUGACUCAGAAAUAACAGGUAUCCUUGAAGAUUAAUCAGAGACCUUUUCAUGCACCUAUAAAGGGAAAAACUUAAAAUGGAUAUGAGAAGUGAAGAAAGUGAUCAUAGGAGAAAAUCAUCUCAGGUAAAAACAAAAAGCAAAAGAGCAAUUAACAUUUAAUAUUUUUAAAGCAAAAAACAAUGUUGACUGUGUUUAGUUAUAAGAAUUCGUUUCAUAUUCUAUAUGGAUCUAGCUGUUGGAAUUUUCAUUGAUGGCUUGAGAAUUUAUACUAUUACCGACCUUUGUGACAAAUUUUUGUCUGAGUUUAUGAUCAAUGUGCAGUUCGAAUCCCUUGGAAUUAUGUAUCUAUAUAUCCAUUCAUAUAUCUAUAUAUCCAUUCAUGUAAUGGUUGAAUAGAAAGUAAUUUAGAAAAAGAAAAUAUGUGUUUUUUUCAUUUGUCACACCAUAUAAAGGAAGUGAAAUCUGAAGGGAGGGAAUAAAGUUGUGCUUUUUCGAAAAAAUGACCUAAUAAGAGAGAAUGAAACCAAAAUAUACAUUCUUAUAGUUAUGAUAAAACCCAAAACAAAUGCUGCUUUUUAUUUCACAUUAAAGUUUAGGAAUAUAUGUUAAGAUAUUUUUAGUAUAAUUGAAUGCAGUUAUGACUGUUAAUUUUUUACUAUAGUUUUUAACAAGUAUGGGAAUAAUUAGAAAAUAAAUAAUGGCAAAAAAAUUACAUAGACCAAAUUAUCUCUAUAAAGUCUAUAAAACACAUCUUAUUUUAUUUCAAAACAUGCAAAAACACUAAUUUUUAUGUAGUAUUACUACUUUUCACAGUAAAGAUAUAAUUUAGAAAUGCUAAAUAUUGUGGAUAUGAGUGAAACGAUUGCUGAUUGUACAACUUGCAGUUUUGUUGUUGUUGAGCUUAAAAUCUUAAAAAACGUAUAUGUGGCUGGCUUUAUGUUUAUUCUUUGUGUGCUUGCUUAUUGCCUGGUGGUUUAAAUUUUUUUUUUAUAACAAUUUAAUUUUGCCCAACCUGUUGACCGGGUGAGUUGUAAGUAGCAAUAUAUCAUGUUUUAAGACUAUCUUUUUUAAAAAAAUAAAUUUAAAUAUAUUGUGUUUAAGAGGCAAGCUAUAUCCUCUUUUAUGCAGUAGGUCUGGAGUAUAAGUUGUAGUAGUGGUAACACUGCUAAUAGUAAUAAUGCUGUUAAUAUGUCAUUAAUUUUAGUUUUCUGAUAAUUAUCCAAAUAUUGUUAAUUUCAGUAUUAUUCCAACUACAGACGUAUAUGUAUACAUUUAAGACUUUUUAGUGACUUCCUGUGUUCUCUGCCUAGUCAACAAGAUCUGACUUGUUUUAUGAGAAAGUUAUAAUGUUCCCCAUUCCUUGAAACCACUAACGGAGGUUUUAUAAAAGAGUUAAAACAAGCACAGUCUGACUCUUACACAAUUAGCUUAAUAGUUAAUUUGGUCUUAAUUAUAGGCUGGUAAUACUACAUUCAUGCUUCACAAUUACAUAAUUCAUACAUGCAUGUAUGGAUCCUUUCUUUUUCCUUUUAAAACUCAUUAUUAAUUAGAAUAGUCCAAAUCCAAAAUAUUCACUAUUAAAACAAAAGUAAUCUGUGAAAAAUAUUUCCGUACACUAUUCUUUAAAUUCUCAUGUAUAUAAACCUGUAUUUAGUGUAGAAUAUUUAUGAAGGCCUUUAACUGGGACUAUGUAUACUAAGAACAUUAACAUUAAACAUAUUUAUAGUAAGGAUCAAUAUUAAUAUUUUCAUCUAAUUUCAUCAGAUAUUUACAACAAAUCCUGCAUUAAUAGGGAGCCCAAGUGAGAUGUUGCCCAUUGGCAUAAACCCGUAGAUCCGAUCUUGUGGUGAAAUGGACUGCGCAAGCUCGCUUCUAUGGGUCUGUGUCAGUGUGGUAAUCUAACAAAAGGCUAUAGACAAAUGCUGUUAAAUAAUAUUUCAGUCAAACUCCUGUUAAACUUCAGUUGAUUACUUUUGAAGUAUUUAUAUUUUCCUUUGUUUUUCAUGUAUACAUUAACCCUCAUCGGUCUUUAGAGGCAAGCUUCAAUUGUCGACCCCUAGGAAGGGUUUAUAGCAUAGCCAUUCAAGUUGGAAUCCAAGUACAGUAAAUUAUGUAAGAGACUUGAAUUUUUUUUUGUAACAAGGUUUGAAACAAGAUCUGAAUAGAUCCUGUUUGGAAACUCAAGUUCACAUGACAGUGGUUAGUACACCUCAUCAACUUCAAUAAGAAAAUUAAAGGCUGUAACUGGAUUUAUGUAUUACUAUUGAGCUGAUUUCUCUUGAAAAAUAAAGUUGAAUGCUAUUGGCUUUUAAUAUUACUAAUUGCUAGUAGAACUAUAUGCCAGGGGAGAUGUCAGAGGACAUUUUGUAUGACCUGUGCUGGAAACCCAAGAGGUUAGGAUAGUCCUAGUAGACACAUAUUAAGUCUAUUGGUGAAAUGUUAGAAUAUUAUAUCUACAUCCUUGCCAAGCCCUUAGGUGUAUGGCCGCCAUAUUUGGAAGAGCUGACUGAAGAUAUGAUAAGGAGUUUGAAGCA